GACGUAGGGCGCGAGCGUUGUCCGGAUUUAUUGGGCGUAAAGAGCUCGUAGGCGGCUCGUUGCGUCAACCGUGGAAACCCGGGGCUUAACUUCGGGCUUGCGGUUGAUACGGGCGGGCUGGAGUUCGGUAGGGGAGACUGGAAUUCCUGGUGUAGCGGUGAAAUGCGCAGAUAUCAGGAGGAACACCGGUGGCGAAGGCGGGUCUCUGGGCCGAUACUGACGCUGAGGAGCGAAAGCGUGGGGAGCGAACAGG
rnacentral:rRNA from 1 species